GUGUGUGAACCUGGAGCUGACCGCAGAGGAGUGGAAGAAGAAAUACGAGAAGGAGAAGAACAAGAGCCUGAAGAGCGCCAUCCAGAGGCUGGAGGCUGAACUGAACCGCUGGAGGAACGUUCUUCAGAACCAAAGCGAAGGGCUCAGACGAUGGAACCUACGCUUCUCUCAGCAGAGCGACGGGCGACACCUACGAGCCGCUGAUGACCGACCCGGAGCGAGGACGG